rnacentral:rRNA from 1 species
CAUGUAGGCGGUUACCUAAGCUUGGUGUGAAAGGCAGGAGCUUAACUCCUGGACUGCAUUGAGAACUGGGUAGCUAGAGUUACUGAAGUGGAAUCAGAAUUCCAGGUGUAGGGGUGAAAUCUGUAGAUAUCUGGAAGAAUACCAAUGGCGAAGGCAGGUUUCAGGCAGAUAACUGACGCUGAGGUGCGAAGGUGUGGGGAGCAAACAGGAUUAGAUACCCCCGUA